rnacentral:rRNA from 1 species
UUCGUAGGGGGCUAGCGUUGUCCGGAAUCAUUGGGCGUAAAGAGCGUGUAGGCGGCCCGGUAAGUCCGCUGUAAAAGUCACAGGCUCAACCUUUGAAUGUCAGUGGAUACUGCCGGGCUAGAGUCCGGAAGAGGCGAGUGGAACUCCUGGUGUAGCGGUGGAAUGCGCAGAUAUCAGGAAGAACACCAACGGCGAAGGCAGCUCGCUGGGACGGUACUGACGCUGAGACGCGAAAGCGUGGGGAGCGAACAGG